rnacentral:rRNA from 1 species
CCUACGGGAGGCAGCAGUGGGGAAUUUUGGACAAUGGACGCAAGUCUGAUCCAGCCAUGCCGCGUGCGGGAAGAAGGCCUUCGGGUUGUAAACCGCUUUUGUCAGGGAAGAAACGCUCUGGGCUAAUACCCUGGGGUAAUGACGGUACCUGAAGAAUAAGCACCGGCUAACUACGUGCCAGCAGCCGCGGUAA